CGAUCUACCAGAUAUUGUGGUCAAGACGUGAUCAACGCACCACCCUGUCUGGUCUGGAAAUCCGGUUAGAAUCCGGAACUGACGCGCAGCGGUAUUGGGGAACAAGCAUGACACGGUGCCCAGGCACCAGACACUGACAGCGGCCGCUUUGGCCGGUUGGGAAGUCGUCAUGCAAGGCCGGCAUUUGCCACGCCCCUGAGUCCGAACACCCGCCGGGAACACAACUGCACC
rfam:Marinobacter sp. X15-166B scaffold00001, whole genome shotgun sequence.